GAUGAACGCUGGCGGCGUGCCUAAUACAUGCAAGUCGAGCGAACGGACGAGAAGCUUGCUUCUCUGAUGUUAGCGGCGGACGGGUGAGUAACACGUGGAUAACCUACCUAUAAGACUGGGAUAACUUCGGGAAACCGGAGCUAAUACCGGAUAAUAUUUUGAACCGCAUGGUUCAAAAGUGAAAGACGGUCUUGCUGUCACUUAUAGAUGGAUCCGCGCUGCAUUAGCUAGUUGGUAAGGUAACGGCUUACCGAGGCAACGAUGCAUAGCCGACCUGAGAGGGUGAUCGGCCACACUGGAACUGAGACACGGUCCAGACUCCUACGGGAGGCAGCAGUAGGGAAUCUUCCGCAAUGGGCGAAAGCCUGACGGAGCAACGCCGCGUGAGUGAUGAAGGUCUUCGGAUCGUAAAACUCUGUUAUUAGGGAAGAACAUAUGUGUAAGUAACUGUGCACAUCUUGACGGUACCUGAUCAGAAAGCCACGGCUAACUACGUG
rnacentral:rRNA from 1 species